rnacentral:rRNA from 1 species
UACGUAGGGACCGAGCGUUGUCCGGAUUCAUUGGGCGUAAAGAGCUCGUAGGCGGCUAUUCAAGUCGAACGUGAAAUCUCGGAGCUCAACUCCGAAACUGCGUUCGAUACUGGGUAGCUAGAGUCUGGUAGGGGGAUCUGGAAUUCCUGGUGUAGCGGUGAAAUGCGCAGAUAUCAGGAGGAAUACCGGUGGCGAAGGCGGGUCUCUGGGACGGUACUGACGCUGAGACGCGAAAGCGUGGGGAGCGAACAGG